AGUUGCCAUAUAUCUUAAAGGCUCCAGCUUUUCCUAAAACUCCUGAGCCCGAGCCCAUACUCCCUGAGGACAUGGAGAAACUCGUUACUAAGGUUAAAGAGCUCGAAGUGGAGAAUGCCGAAUUACGAAUUCAGAUGAACCGAGUUAUCUUGGAAAAUCAGAAUUUGAAAGAGGAACGUAAGGGAAAAGCCCAAGAACUUGAGGAUAGCAACAAGAGAGCUAGGCUUUUGGAAGACCAGAAAGAUGAUCUUGAUCAUAUCCUAU
rnacentral:lncRNA from 1 species